CCGCCUCCUUAAGUCUUGGGAUUACAGGAGUGAGCCACAACUCCGGCCCAGCCAGUUCAUUCUUAAUAACUUUAAUACAUAAAAAUGGACCAUUUUAGUGUCCUGAAAUAAGCAAUGAUUUCCACCAUCCGAAUAUGGUGUGUAAUGACCUCCAGACGCCUAGUUACCAUCUACAUCCAUAGCUCAGCGAUCAGAGCUUGCCCUGAACGGACUCCUUUCCCACUGCAGACAAGUAGGGGGUUUUGCCCGUAAAGAAGGAGCUAGUCUACGUGCGGCUGCAGUAGGCCCUGCGCCAUCCGUCAUUUCUCGGCUUCCUCCCACGCGCCUUCAUGCGGAUGUGUAGGUAUCUCCUCUCCCUGGCUGAGUCAAGUCACUCAGAGACUGAAAAGAGAGAGAGGAUGUGGCGUGAAGCUGAAGCCUGCACCCAGGGCCUGGCACCUACUGGGUUGGGCUUGGCGCUGCGUGCUUGCAUUUCCGCGGAUAGACCGAGAUGGCAUCUGGGCUGUGACACUGGCUGCCCAGCUUUUCUUUUCUUUUUUUCCAACAGCAUCUGGAAGAGGCUCUGGGAGGGUCCAAACAACAAACCACGCGGCGUUCUCUGGUGGCUGUGCUGGGACGAGUGGGCGGAAACAGCCGCAGCUGACAACUGUCAAGAACUGUCCCCUGCCAUUUCACCUGAGCUGACCUGAUCUCCCCAGGGGAAUGAGCCUCGUCUUGCAAGUCCCCUUCUUUGGGUCCCUGGCAGCGCUGCUGCAGGAUACAAGGAACAGGAUGCUAUGACGAGAUAUGCAUUGAGAAGCUUCAGUCCUGCCUCCAUCCUUAUCUUCUUCUCCCUGGACCAAAAGUGAUAAUUGUCAUUUGAUCCUUAUUUAUUUUUAGAAAUAAAACUCUUAUGCAGAUACCAACACAUACAAAUCUGUAUUCUU
rnacentral:lncRNA from 1 species